AUUAGGUUAAACAAGAACAUUGAAAUAGAUCUAGAAUCAUACCUUUGAGUUCCUUGUUGAUCUUGAGGUCUUGGAGCUUCUAGAGUCACAAGUGUCACUCCUCUAAUGGCUUACAAACACCAAAGCAAGGAGGAUGAUUUGAGAGAGAGGAGAGGGAAGGAAUUCGACCAGAGUUUCCUUACUUUAGGUCAAGUGUCGAAUUCCAUCAGCCAUGGGGUCUAUUUAUACUUGUAGAUUCCUUAAUGAUUACAGAUAAGUCCCUAUCAGAUAAUCUUCUCUUAAGGCUAUCCAAAUCCAUUCCUAGAUAAGCAUAUGGACGAUUUUAGCUUUCCUAAAGCUCUUAGAAUCCGUCCAAAGUAUAUCCAAAUGGAUUUACAGUUUAAAGCUUAACUAUCAAACAAUUGACAGUUUAUACCCCUUUAUUUAAUUAAUCUCUUUAAGUCACCAAAUUAAUUCUAAUUAAUUCUAUGACUUAUAUUAAUCAAAUAACAAAUAUAUUAUUCAUUAUAUUAUUCCCAUAAUAUAUUAAUAAUAUUUAUUCUCUCUUAAUAAAUCAUCCUAUCAAGUUGCUAUGGUGAAGGCAACCCAAAAGGACCAUGCACAACCGGAUCAAAUACUUGCCUAAUAUAGUUACAGCCUUAGACACUAUUCCAACAGUCUCCCACUUGGAUAAGUCUAGUAACUAUACAAGUACAAUUCGGUUUGCAAUCGUAGCUCUCAAAGACGCUGUCAACUCUGAUCUAAUCAAUCUUGUCCUUUAGAUAAGGGAACGUACAGUCCUCUGUUAGAUAUCAUGCUGACAAUCCUAUGGAAUGGUUAGUCAAGCAUUUAGGUUUCUCGAUCUCUGAUUUAUUUGACAUAGAACUUAAUCGAACACAUCAAUUCAGUUCUGACCGGGCCCGGCACAUAAGUCAAAUCAAAUCAUCGAGCGGCCGAGAUAUCGCUUUUACCUUCUUAGAUAAAAGUUACAGAUAAACUUCGACUUAUAUGCAUUUACUUAUUCAUUAACCAACUAUACACAACAAUACGUUUUAUAACACCAAGUUACUGAUGCGUUUUCGUAUUAUCAAUGUACAAUCAAUUAACAAAUAAUAAACCAUAUAUCUAGGUUUUAAGACUAUAUGAUAUUAUCGUCUUGCGAUCACCUUUUAUAUCGUAUUCCAUAAGGUGAUUCCAGCAAGCGCGGGUUUAUUCCAAUGCUCAAAACUAGUUCAUAAGCACUCAUGAACGUUGCAGCAAUCCUUUGCUAUGUCUAACACCAUUUAGACAUUCUACACACCAAUUCAUGACAAUCUUCAUUCAUAUCUACUCCCAACAUAUGAACGAUUGUGGACCAUUUGAACAAUUCGAUUAUUCCUAAUAAACUCAAUUAUUCUGGAAGUCAAAACAUGCAAAGUGAAACAAUAGCUAAACAAUUAACAUAAGAUAGUAACAUUACUCAUAAAUAAAACUCCUUUAUUUAAUCAUCAAAUGUUAAUUACAUUUAUCUAUUACACGUUUCUAAUACUAUCUAAUCUAUGCUAAUAUCAUCCUUCAGCCCAAUACUCCUAGCAUGCUGCAAGUGCUUAACCCUACUCAGUCCCUUCGUAAGCGGAUCUGCUGGGUUAUCUUCUGAUGAUAUCCUCUUCACUACGAGUUGUCCUUCUUCUACACGAUGUCUAAUGAAGUGAUAUUUUCUGUCGAUAUGUCUUGAUCUACCAUGAUCCCUCGGUUCCUUGGUCAAGGCAACCGCUCCUUCGUUAUCACAGAAAAUCUCCAUGGGCUCCUUUAUGGCAGGUACAACUCCAAGAUCACCGAUGAAGUUCUUUAGCCAUAUUGCCUCCUUCGACGCUUCGCUCGCUGCAAUGUACUCUGAUUCGCACGUUGAAUCAGCUACGGUUUCCUGCUUGGAACUCUUCCAUGUCACUGCUCCUCCAUUUAGGGUAAAGACCCAGCCCGACUGCGAACGGUAGUUGUCCCUGUCGGUCUGAAAACUGGCGUCACUAUACCCUCGCACCUUCAAGUCAUCACUCCCUCCGAGGACUAAGAACCAUUCCUUCGUCCUCCGAAGGUACUUAAGGAUAUUCUUCACCGCAAUCCAAUGUGCUUUGCCAGGAUUCCCUUGAUAUCUGCUAACCAUGCUCAAAGCGAAGGCUACAUCAGGGCGAGUACAAGUCAUAGCGUACAUGAUUGAGCCAACUGCGGAAGCGUAUGGUACUCGGCUCAUUUCUGCUAUCUCAGCUUCGGUACUCGGACUUUGAGUCUUACUCAAUUUGGCAUUACUUUGUAUCGGUAGUUCUCCCUUCUUUGAGUUUUCCAUACUAAAACGUUUUAGUACCUUCUCUAAGUAAGUAUUCUGACUAAGUCCAAUUAGUCUCUUACUUCUUUCUCUUACUAUCCUUAUUCCCAAAAUGUAAGAAGCCUCUCCGAGGUCCUUCAUAGCGAAGCACUUCCCGAGCCAGGACUUAACCUCCUGCAGAGUCGGGAUGUCGUUUCCUAUGAGUAAUAUGUCAUCGACAUAUAGAACGAGGAAGCUUACUAUACUCCCACUGGCUUUGACAUAUACACAAGAUUCGUCUUCGCUUCGUACAAAUCCAAACUCUUUGACUUUCUCAUCGAAGCAAAGAUUCCAUCUGCGAGACGCUUGCUUAAGUCCAUAAAUGGACUUCUCAAGCUUACACACUCUAUUCGGAUGCUUCGGAUCCACAAACCCCUCUGGCUGAGCCAUGUAAACAUCCUCAGCCAACUUUCCGUUAAGGAAAGCGGUCUUGACAUCCAUUUGCCAAAUCUCAUAAUCAUGAAAUGCGGCAAUAGCUAGCAUCACUCUAAUAGAUUUAAUCUUCGCAACUGGUGAGAAGGUCUCAUCAUAGUCAACUCCGGGAGUUUGAGUAAAGCCCUUCGCAACCAAUCGCGCUUUAUAUGUGUGUACGUUUCCAUCCACGUCGGUCUUCUUCUUGAAGAUCCAUUUGCACCCAACGGUCUUACGUCCGGGCACAUAAUCAACCAAAUUCCAAACUUGGUUAUCAUACAUGGAUUGGAUCUCGCUAUCCAUUGCCUCUUUCCAUUUUGCAGACUCCGGGCCUGCCAUGGCUUCCUUAUAGCUAUUAGGUUCAUCAAGAUUUACUAGUGUACCAUCACUAAUAUACGUGUCCCCUUCGGUAGUAAUAUGAAAGCCAUAAAACUGGGGAUGAACUCUAACUCUAUCGGAACGUCUAAGAGGUAAGGAUUCGUCAAUCGGUUCAACCGGAGUUUCCUCCUCGGGUUGAGUGCCAGCGGUAGAGGUUCCUUCAUCUAUCGACUCUUGAAUCUCUUCAAGUUCGAUUUGCCUCCCACUGUCUCCUUGGCUUAUGAGUUCUCGCUCUCGGAAAACUCCUCUCCUCGCAACGAAGACAACAUUGUCCUUCGGUCUAUAGAAGAGAUAUCCAAAGGAUGUCUGCGGGUAGCCGAUGAAAAUACAUCGCUCACUUCGAGGUUCAAGCUUGUCGUGAGUAUCUCGUCUUACGAAAGCCUCGCAACCCCAAACCUUGAUAUGUGCCAACGAGGGAGCUUUCCCUGUCCACAUCUCGUGAGGUGUUUUGGCAACCUUCUUAGUAGGGACUCGGUUAAGGAUAUGGGCGGCAGUCUCUAAGGCAUACCCCCAAAAAGAGAUUGGUAGUGAAGCACGACUCAUCAUAGAGCGAACCAUAUCCAAUAAGGUUCGAUUACGCCUUUCUGCCACACCAUUCAACUGCGGUGUCCUAGGAGGCGUCAAUUGUGAAACUAUUCCACACUCCUUGAGAUAAUCGUGGAAUUCAAGACUUAGGUACUCUCCUCCUCGAUCGGAUCGAAGCAUCUUGAUUUUCCUGCCCAAUUGAUUCUCCACUUCAUUCUUGAACUCUUUGAACUUUUCAAAGGUGUCUGACUUUUGCUUGAUUAAGUAGAUAUACCCAUAUCUACUAUAGUCAUCGGUAAAAGUCACAUAGAAGCGGUUCCCAUCCUUCGUGGUUGAUCUAAACGGUCCACAUACAUCGGUAUGUAUUAGGUCCAAUAGACCCUCGCCCCUUUCACAUGUACUCGUGAAGGGUGACUUAGUCAUCUUUCCAAGCAAACAAGACUCGCAUGUGUCAUCUUCCCUAAGGUCGAAUGACUCCAACACUCCAUCCUUUUGGAGUUGGGCUAUGCGUUUCUUGUUGACAUGUCCAAGACGACAAUGCCACAAGGAUGCUUUAUCCAUACUAGUGGAAGAAUCAAUAUUCAAAACAUCAUUUCCUAAGUUAUCAACAAUCAUAACGGUUUCAUAUAUUCCAUUACAUGGUAUAGCUUCAAAGUAAAAGACACCAUUUAGAUAAGCCAAAAUAGAACCAUUCUCAUUAUUAAAAGAAAAUCUAAAUCCUUGUCUAUAUAAACCAUGAAAUGAAAUGAUGUUUCUUGCCAUUUCUGGCGAAUAGCAACAAUUGUUCAAAUCUAAAACUAAACUAUUCCUAAGCACUAAAGAAUACACUCCAAUCUUGGUCACAGGCGACGAUCUUCUGUUCCCCAUGAUUAGAUUGAUCCUUCCUUGCUCCACAUCCCUACUUCUUCUUAGUCCCUGCACAUUAGAACAAAUGUGAUAACCACAACCGGUAUCAAGAACCCAAGAAAUAGCAUGAUUAGAAUCGUUAGAUUUGAUUGUGUAUAUACCUGCGAAAGAUGGCUUGAUCUUUCCUUCUUUGAUUGCUUGCAGGUAAUCUGGGCAGCUUCUCUUCCAAUGUCCUAUCUUGUGGCAGUGGUGGCACUCUGCCUCCUUCGGGUUAGAGCAGGGCUUAGCGGGAUCAACUUUGGUCCCACUAGAAGAGGCACCAUCUCGGGCUUUCACCUUGCGAUAGUUCUUCGAUGAAGCUUUCCUCUUCUUUCCCUUUCCUUGACCAAUAGCCAAGACAGGAGCAGCGGGCGGAUUGGGAGUAGGUGCAACAGACUUGUCCUUGAAGUUGCUCUCAGCGACCCUCAAGAGACCUUGGAGUUUGCUUAGGGUGACCUCUUCUUUGUUCAUGUGGUAGGUCAUCCUAAAUUGGUUGUACAUCGGAGGCAAAGAGUGAAGCACCAUGUCGAUCGCCAAGUCUUCACCGAAGUCAACAUUUAACUUGCGAAGGCGGUCGACAUACCUUUGCAUCUUUUGCAAGUGCACGGUAAGAGAUUCUCCAUGACCCAUCUUCGCGGAAAUCAUGUUAGUGAAAAUCUCGUACCUCUCUUGUCUCGCGUUUUGGUGGUACCUCUCCAAUAAGUCUUGAUGCAUCUCGUACGGGUACAUGUCCUCGUAGGACUUUUGGAAUUCGGAGUUCAUGGUGGCGAUCAUGAUGCAAUGUACCUUCGUUGCAUCUCGCUCAUGAGUCUCAAAAGCGGUGAUUUCGGCGGGAGUAGCGAUUUCGGGGUUGAUUUUCUCGAGCUUCUCAUCGAGGACAUACUCCUUAUCCUCAUAGCGAGCAAUGGUGCGAAUGUAUCUUAUCCAUUCGCUAAAGUUCGUUCCAUCGAAGGUGACCUUUUGGCAAAGGCUCAUCAACGUGAAAGAACUAGCAGCAGCGUUGUUUGCGUUCGACAUCUACAAUUAGAAAAGGACAAAGAUAGAUUAGAAUAAGAAUCCCUAAUUAUCACCCAAUAAGAAAAUUAGGGCUAGGAUCCAACAAUAACAUUUACAUACUAGAAAAGGGAUGCCGUAAUCUAACAUGCAAAUAAAUUGAAGGUAAGUGAAUGACGAUUCACUAAUUCUCCAUCACAAAACUUAAACUAUUAGUCCUAAGUGUUUUUGAGAAUUCCUAGGUUCGGAUGAGAUUCAUUGAAACUAUUCAAUGGCAUGUUUAAAUCUCGAUAUGCCCCUCUUGUUUGUGACUGGGAUGCCGAGGAUCACAAAGCGGGUGUGAAUUACCAUGCAAAUUCACAUGGUGCCUUCAUUGUAACGAUCACCUAUUCGAUGUGCCGGUAAACCACACACGCUCCAUCGAACUAUGAUAAACAAUGAAUCACCCUUUGCCACCUUCGCUUAGAACCAAUUAGUGUGCCGGUAAACCACACACGCUCCACUAACAUCUUAGCAAGGUGCAAAGUGUAAUUUCAUGGGAUUGCAUCAAUUCACUUUUCCUAAAGUAACUAGGAUUGGGAAAUUUUAAAAUAUGUGUAGUUACUUUGUAUUUCUUAUUAUACUUUUAAUGAGAGGAUGAGGUUGCCCUAUCCUACCCGUUCGGCUAACGACCCUCCACCAAUCAAGCAAGCGGUGGGUGUGAGUGUACACCCAUUAAGCGCCAUUUUAUAGGCCGCAACCUUAUACCCACCUUAUAGAUCGGCUUCGUGAAUGAGGCCUACUAACGGUAAGACUAGCAUUUAGUUAUACAUAUAUAUAUUAUUCUAGUAAUAUCAUAUUAGUAUAGGGUUGUAUUUUAAAACUUUUAAAAUCUAGGGUUUGAAAUUUAAGUUGUCUAAAUUAAAACUUUUAAUCACAAAAGUAAAUUUCAAAACAUGAGGGUAGGUUUUAAACAUUUAAAACAUGGAGGAUCAAAUAACAAAUAAUUCCAAUUAACAAUUAAUAUCCUAAUUAUCUAUAUUUGAUUUAUUCAAGAUUUCUUUUUAAGAUAAUUACCAAAAUAAUCAAAAUAAUUAAUUAAUUAUCAUAUAAGGAAAUUAAAUAUUUAAUUAGUUGAUAAUUACCUUUAACUAGAUCAAGAUAAUAGUUAUAUUUAUCAGAAAAACGAAUUAAUGUUGAUCUAAUUAGUUUAUGGUAAGUUAAGAUAAGAUAAACACAAAGAAAUCCCGAAUCUGGCCAUUCCUGACGCCUGGACUCGCCGAGUGCACAAAUGGACUCGCCGAGUCAGGCCUACUCGCCGAGUCCACUUUGAGACUCGCCGAGUCCAUGACUCAGAAACCAAAAAUUCGAAUUUUGCAGGUUUGUUUCAGUUAAUCAAGCAACAAUUUACAGAAAACCAAGCUAGGCUCUGAUACCACUGAUGGGUUUUAGCCAUAAGAACUUUCCUAUGUGCGCAUGCAAAACCCUAAUGCUUGGAUCUAGGCUUUCUAAUAAACAUGCUUUGAAUCCAAGACUUCUAAUUACUAAUUAGGUUAAACAAGAACAUUGAAACAGAUCUAGAAUCAUACCUUUGAGUUCCUUGUUGAUCUUGAGGUCUUGGAGCUUCUAGAGUCACAAGUGUCACUCCUCUAAUGGCUUACAAACACCAAUAGCAAUAAGAAUGAUUUAGGAGAGAGGAGAGGGGAGGAAUUCGACCAGAGGUUCCUUACUUUAGGUCAAGUGUCGAAUUCCAUCAGCCAUGGGGUCUAUUUAUACUUGUAGAUUCCUUAAUGAUUACAGAUAAGUCCCUAUCAGAUAAUCUUCUCUUAAGGCUAUCCAAAUCCAUUCCUAGAUAAGCAUAUGGACGAUUUUAGCUUUCCUAAAGCUCUUAGAAUCCGUCCAAAGUAUAUCCAAAUGGAUUUACAGUUUAAAGCUUAACUAUC
rnacentral:lncRNA from 1 species